GGGAGGGGGGGUUCGUUGACAGAAUAAGUAUUUUAUAGCAACGAAAGCGAGGAGGAGUGGUAACCUAAAAAGGCCCUUAAGGCAGGAGGGAAAAUGGGUCAUGGGGAGAAGCAUAUAUAAGCACUCCAUGACUUGGGCCAACAAAAAUCCUAGAGCCCAAGACUAAGCAUCGAAUAGGCGACGUUUGAUCUGAGGUCCACCCAGCGUAGAGACAGAUGGUUCAACAGAGGUUCCCUCCGGUUCCUAGACCUUCACGCGAACCAGGGUUGCCCUCGCUGCAAGUUUCUCCUGCUUGACGGUGGCCAUGGGAGAGGCAACUCUGAACAGUAAUAGGGAAGUUAGGGAACAAAAGUGGAAAUGGUGGAAUAACAUAAGAGGUACAAUAAAGGCUUACAAAGUCGCUGAGAGGGCCUGUGCAUGGAGUGUCAGUAGUCUGAGGGGGUAGAGGAUGGUGUCUGUUUGGCCUUUUUGACCGGAGGAUAGCUGCAAGCACGACUUCAUCGGAGAAAAUAAGGUGGAGUCGCUAUAAGAUCAGGCUGUCUUGCACUGGAAAUAAAAGGUACAUAGGGAAAGGAAUUACUGGGGGGUGAUAUAGCUGGUUAGAAUGGAAAGUUUUGGUGUAUCAUAUGGCUAGAACGUCAUCAUACACUGUCGGCGGCUGGGGCUGGAGCACCGGGCCAACAAUAACAGGGGGGGUCACAGGUAAAGGUGAAACUGGUAUGGAAGGGAAGUCCGACUUCGGCAUGCUGGAGGCAGCGAAACGGGUUAGCAAAUGCCAGGGAACGACAAAGAGUUGGGGAGUGCAUUAAUAAAAAAGGAGGUGUGCUGAUCAAUACCUCUUCGGAGGAGGGGUUACAACAGCAGGAAGUGUAGCACUAACUGGGGUUCUAGGUAAGUUGUUGGAGAUGUAGGAUGCAUUGGCACUAGAGGGACAUAAGCUGGGUCAGGCGGAAUCGGUGUAUCGUGGCGCGAAGCCGGGCUGUAAGAGGACCAUGAGACAAUAAGAGGGCGGGUGGAAUCCAUGGUGUGAUCAAAGGCAAUUUAUGGGAGGGAAACUAAGAAGGAUAGUGAGGGCAACAAACCUGGGAGUGCGAGCAGGAGGGGUAGGAAUUGGAUCAGCAGCUGGCUGCGAGACGCCACCAAACCCCAACUACGGGUCACCCUAAAAUCGUUGUAUGUAUUUGCUUGAACAUUCCGUGGGAGUUGGACGUUGAAUGUAACACGUUGGCCCAUAAAGACUUUAAUCGGAGGGGGCAAAUCGCCAUAAUCUUUGAGGUAGGCAACAGAAAGUUCUUGCGCAGUUAUGGGCAAGAUGUGAUCAACAAUUUCGCCGAGCAGAACGAAAGUUGUUUCAGUUGUGGGGUCAGAGACGGCAAGUUUAAGGCGGUACCUAGCAUGCCAAUGAAUGUCUAGGAAUAAUGAUGAGGUUAAGAGAAGAAUUAAAAGGUACUAUUUAGGGGGUCUUGGAUGUACUUAAAAGUUGUCUACGUAGGUAGGGAACUCACAGAAUCGACAACAGUAGUGUAAAGGGCCAAUAGCUUAUGGAUUGUGCGGUAUGAAGCGGCAACAUGCUGUUUGAGUUUCUCUGGGGUGGCGAACUUAAGUGGCACAUACUCCAUUGGGUGUGGGUUGGCCAGGAACAUGGUGUGAGAGGGGACAGUGUGUGACAAGGUGGGCCAAACAGUUAGUGACAAGAGGCGGAUGUGGGAAAGGGAACCACGAGGAGAUGAGAAUGGGAAAACAAUGGAAAAAACCAACGGGACGGACGAACUAAGUUUUGAGUUCAGCAACUGUCAAGUGUCACGUAUAGAGGAUAACAAAGCUCGUUGUGUAGCUGGACGCGAUAAUAUCACCUGCGGGAAUGAAGAAAUCAGCGAAGUAGAUAGCGCUGUAAAUGGGGGAGGGGGAAACAAUUAGGAGUAGAAUAUCAAUGGCUAUGGAACUUACCGAUGAAGGUAUCUAUCUGGAAAGCAGACAAGCCCAGGAGAACAGGCUCGUGCCGGUCGAACAAAAGCAAAGUGUCAAUGUCUAAAACCUCAGAUAGCUUGAACCAUAGGGACACAAAAAUUUUGGUCCCGCUGUAGGUGGGCGCCCAGGCAAGAAUUAGGAAUGGCACUGCAGCGAACAAAUAAGGGAAGCGGCGGUGAGAUGUGUUCUUGAAUACCUUCAAUCGACGAUGGUAAGAUUCUGGACUAGUUCGACAACAGAGCAACGCUUAACAUGAUUUGGGUGGUGAUUUUGAUGACCUAGUCGAUCAGGUCUUGCGAUGGGCAGGAAAUGUCAGACGGGUAUGAAUCAAAUGGAAGCAAGUUGGAGGAAAACAAAAAAGAUGCACACCUGAGAGGAAAGGGUAUGGGUGUUUUCGCUUAUGCAACAAGGGGAGGGGUAUGAAGUCGUAAGCUUCAGUGACGAAUGGCGGGGGUCAGACUAAGGUUCCAGCUCGAACUUUGUUGCGGGUGUCAGCUCUAGCCAAUGGGAGGAAGGCGUUGCAAAACAUGGGGCGGUGACACCGGCGAGAGUAGCCGGAGACCCUAUAGAGCGCCCCAACGGAAAUGCGCUUCUUAAUAAGAGCAGCGAACUUCCGGUUUGUAUCGCCUUGGAUCCGUAUGUUGGAAAUAUGCACCAGAGUUCAACCUUGGUGUGAUAGAAGCACCAUGGACGUGACCUUGGUGUGAUGUCGGAGUUGGGACGAAUGUGUGAACUCACGGGAAACCUCACAUUAGCUCAGAGCAAGCUGGAACUAGCUGGCAUCAGCUCCUCUAUGAGCUAGAUGAUGCUAGGGACUGACACUGAAGCUCGUCCAGCUCAACCUUGAACUGGAUGUUAGUGCCACUAGCUGUGGCGCUGAGCUGAGCUACAAUGAUGGUAGGGAGUUCGGUAGUUGGGGUGGUUACUCCUUCUCCUAGGACCAAUAGGUACACACCUCUUUGUGAGAUUCGAACUCAUCUCUUAGUUGUUUUCCCACCAAACCCAUAGGUCUUCAAGGUGGUUACCUUUAAGUCUAUCCAUGUGGAUAAUGACUCCUCUUGGUGCAUGGAUUCGUACCCCUUCAGUCAUGGACCUCUUUGCCUAUAUAAAGGAGGCAGUAGUGUGGGAGAAUACACACAAAAAUGAUCUAUCCUAGUCUACAAUUCUAAGUGACUCUAGUAUCUAAAGCCUAAGAACUUGAGUGAAGACG
rnacentral:lncRNA from 1 species